rnacentral:rRNA from 1 species
GACGUAGGGUGCGAGCGUUUGUCCGGAUUUAUUGGGCGUAAAGAGCUCGUAGGCGGCUCGUCGCGUCAGCUGUGAAAACCCGCGGCUUAACCGUGGGCGUGCAGCUGAUACGGGCGGGCUAGAGUUCGGUAGGGGAGACUGGAAUUCCUGGUGUAGCGGUGAAAUGCGCAGAUAUCAGGAGGAACACCGGUGGCGAAGGCGGGUCUCUGGGCCGAUACUGACGCUGAGGAGCGAAAGCCCAGGGGAGCAAACGGG